ensembl:lncRNA
ACUAGUACUAGUGGUGUUACCACUAGUAACACCAGAAUACAAGAUAAAGAUGUUUCCAUUUGAUAUGCAAAGCUGUUUCCCUGUAUAGAGAUGACCGUAGAUAACGCAAAUAAUGCUUUGACCGUUCCAUGAACCCGGCUUGAAGUGUGAAAACGUCUUCCUAAAAGAUGCAAAAUAGCGCAAAUACUGCACUGUUCUGCUUUAAGGUGUGAAAAUGUCUUCCUGAAAAGCGCUUAGUAGCGCAAAGGACGCACAAACAUGCUUUGAUCAAGUUUCCAUACCGAGACUGUGAUCGACACAAGAUAAACCCCAGUGACGCACAUUGCUUCUGCAAAAGAAAGUAUAUAAG